AUUGAACGCUGGCGGCAGGCCUAACACAUGCAAGUCGAGCGGAGCGGCUGACGGGUGAUUAUUACCUAUGAAUCUGCCUGCUCGUGGUGGAUAACGUUCGUUAACGGACGCUACUACCGCAUCCUAUCAGAUUACCCUAGGUCGGAUUGGCUAGGUGUUGAGGUAAUGGCUCACCAAGGCUACGCUCCGUAACUGGUCUGUGCGGAUGAUCAGUCACACUGGAACUGAGAAACGGUCCAGACUCCUACGGGAGGCAGCAGGGGGGAAUAUUGGACAAGGGGCGAAAGACUGAUCCAGACAGGCCGGGUGUGUGAAGAAGGUCUUCGGAUUGUAAAGCACGUUAAGUGGGGAGGCGGAACCGACAGAAUAAGCACGGGCUAACUCUGUGCCAGCAGCCGCGGUAUAG
rnacentral:rRNA from 1 species